GAUGAACGCUGGCGGCGUGCCUAAUACAUGCAAGUCGAGCGAACGGACGAGAAGCUUGCUUCUCUGAUGUUAGCGGCGGACGGGUGAGUAACACGUGGAUAACCUACCUAUAAGACUGGGAUAACUUCGGGAAACCGGAGCUAAUACCGGAUAAUAUUUUGAACCGCAUGGUUCAAAAGUGAAAGACGGUCUUGCUGUCACUUAUAGAUGGAUCCGCGCUGCAUUAGCUAGUUGGUAAGGUAACGGCUUACCAAGGCAACGAUGCAUAGCCGACCUGAGAGGGUGAUCGGCCACACUGGAACUGAGACACGGUCCAGACUCCUACGGGAGGCAGCAGUAGGGGAUCUUCCGCAAUGGGCGAAAGCCUGACGGAGCAACGCCGCGUGAGUGAUGAAGGUCUUCGGAUCGUAAAACUCUGUUAUUAGGGAAGAACAUAUGUGUAAGUAACUGUGCACAUCUUGACGGUACCUAAUCAGAAAGCCACGGCUAACUACGUGCCAGCAGCCGCGGUAAUACGUAGGUGGCAAGCGUUAUCCGGAAUUAUUGGGCGUAAAGCGCGCGUAGGCGGUUUUUUAAGUCUGAUGUGAAAGCCCACGGCUCAACCGUGGAGGGUCAUUGGAAACUGGAAAACUUGAGUGCAGAAGAGGAAAGUGGAAUUCCAUGUGUAGCGGUGAAAUGCGCAGAGAUAUGGAGGAACACCAGUGGCGAAGGCGACUUUCUGGUCUGUAACUGACGCUGAUGUGCGAAAGCGUGGGGAUCAAACAGGAUUAGAUACCCUGGUAGUCCACGCCGUAAACGAUGAGUGCUAAGUGUUAGGGGGUUUCCGCCCCUUAGUGCUGCAGCUAACGCAUUAAGCACUCCGCCUGGGGAGUACGACCGCAAGGUUGAAACUCAAAGGAAUUGACGGGGACCCGCACAAGCGGUGGAGCAUGUGGUUUAAUUCGAAGCAACGCGAAGAACCUUACCAAAUCUUGACAUCCUUUGACAACUCUAGAGAUAGAGCCUUCCCCUUCGGGGGACAAAGUGACAGGUGGUGCAUGGUUGUCGUCAGCUCGUGUCGUGAGAUGUUGGGUUAAGUCCCGCAACGAGCGCAACCCUUAAGCUUAGUUGCCAUCAUUAAGUUGGGCACUCUAAGUUGACUGCCGGUGACGAACCGGAGGAAGGUGGGGAUGACGUCAAAUCAUCAUGCCCCUUAUGAUUUGGGCUACACACGUGCUACAAUGGACAAUACAAAGGGCAGCGAAACCGCGAGGUCAAGCAAAUCCCAUAAAGUUGUUCUCAGUUCGGAUUGUAGUCUGCAACUCGACUACAUGAAGCUGGAAUCGCUAGUAAUCGUAGAUCAGCAUGCUACGGUGAAUACGUUCCCGGGUCU
rnacentral:rRNA from 1 species